rnacentral:rRNA from 1 species
UACGGGGGGGGGGCAAGCGUUGUUCGGAAUUACUGGGCGUAAAGGGCUCGUAGGCGGCCAACUAAGUCGGAUGUGAAAUCCCCAGGCUUAACCUGGGAACUGCAUCCGAUACUGGAUGGCUUGAAUCCGGGAGAGGGAUGCGGAAUUCCAGGUGUAGCGGUGAAAUGCGUAGAUAUCUGGAGGAACACCGGUGGCGAAGGCGGCAUCCUGGACCGGCAUUGACGCUGAUGAGCGAAAGCCAGGGGAGCAAACGGG